rnacentral:rRNA from 1 species
GAUGAACGCUGGCGGCGUGCCUAACACAUGCAAGUCGAACGGGGUUAAGUGAAAUUUUCGGAUGGAGCUUAACUUAGUGGCGGACGGGUGAGUAACGCGUGGAUAACCUGCCUCACACUGGGGGAUAGCAGCUGGAAACGGCUGGUAAUACCGCAUAAGACCACAGCACCGCAUGGUGCAGGGGUAAAAGAUUUAUCGGUGUGAGAUGGAUCCGCGUCUGAUUAGCCAGUUGGCGGGGUAACGGCCCACCAAAGCGACGAUCAGUAGCCGGCCUGAGAGGGUGAACGGCCACAUUGGGACUGAGACACGGCCCAAACUCCUACGGGAGGCAGCAGUGGGGAAUAUUGCACAAUGGGCGCAAGCCUGAUGCAGCAACGCCGCGUGAGUGAAGAAGGUUUUCGGAUCGUAAAACUCUGUUGUCAGAGAAGAACAAGUUGGAGAGUAACUGCUCCAGCCUUGACGGUAUCUGACCAGAAAGCCACGGCUAACUA